UACGGAGGGUGCGAGCGUUAAUCGGAAUUACUGGGCGUAAAGGGUGCGUAGGUUGUUAUAAAAGUUAGGUGUGAAAGUCCUGGGCUUAACCUGGGGACGGCAUUUAAUACUGUAUAGCUAGAGUACUGUAGAGGAAGGUGGAAUUUCCGGUGUAGCGGUGAAAUGCGUAGAUAUCGGAAGGAACAUCAGUGGCGAAGGCGACUUUCUGGACAGAUACUGACACUGAGGCACGAAAGCGUGGGGAGCAAACGGG
rnacentral:rRNA from 1 species